rnacentral:rRNA from 1 species
AUUGAACGCUGGCGGCAUGCCUUACACAUGCAAGUCGAACGGCAGCGCGGGAGCAAUCCUGGCGGCGAGUGGCGAACGGGUGAGUAGUGCAUCGGAACGUGCCCAGUUGUGGGGAUAGCCCGGCGAAAGCCGGAUUAAUACCGCAUGAGACCUGAGGGUGAAAGCGGGGGAUCGAAAGACCUCGCGCGACUGGAGCGGCCGAUGUCAGAUUAGGUAGUUGGUGGGGUAAGGGCCUACCAAGCCUGCGAUCUGUAGCUGGUCUGAGAGGACGACCGGCCAAACUGGGACUGAGACACGGCCCAGACUCCUACGGGAGGCAGCAGUGGGGAAUUUUGGACAAUGGGCGCAAGCCUGAUCCAGCCAUGCCGCGUGCGGGAAGAAGGCCUUCGGGUUGUAAACCGCUUUUGUCGGGGAAGAAACGGCCUGGGCUAAUACCUUGGGCUAAUGACGGUACCCGAAGAAUAAGCACCGGCUAACUACGUGCCAGCCGCCGCGGUAA